CCCACAGCAAUCAUGCGCUUGUCCUCAGCAUCUCAUCAAAUAAUCCUUUUGUUCAGUUUGCUUUUACUCCUGUCUGCUUUUACAUCAGGAGUGAUCUCUCAUGACUCAAAACCCAAAACAUGCUGCCGAAAGCAUGAAAAAUAUGCACACUUUAAAAUCCAACGAUGUUACAUUCUUCCAGAAACAGACAAAUGUCUCAAUUCUGUAGUGUUUACUGAUCAAAAUAACAGGAAUCACUGCUAUGAUCCAGCAGCUCCAUGGAUGAAUUUUAGAAUGGAUCUUCUACA